CUCUCAUUGUAUUCUAAACUGGACAUUGCUGAUCACAAGCAUUUUAGAAAUAGAAGUGAAGUUCCAUGCAACUAUUUCACAUGAAAAUGGGCACUUUAAAGUACCAUCAUAAAAUGAGUAGUCCUAUUCUGGAAAGAUAAAUAGAAUGUCCCAAGGUCGAAGGCAGCCAGGCAGUCAAUAACUGUGUGCUAGAACAGCCUCAGCUCUUGAGAAGCUCACGAUCCAAUGGGGGAGACAGCCUUCAAAGAACUAUGGGCCAAUGCACUACAUAUAGACAACACUGGAACUAACUGACAAAGGGAUGGGACCAGAAGGAAAAGGAUCAGCUGAGUAAAAGUCUGGGGGAGGCAAGAGGACCAAGGAGGAAACUGCUUCUUGUUGGGUCAGCAUUCCCAGAAACAGAUGCCUCUGCAGAAUUAAAAGUCUUGGAAGCCCCUGGGCCACGUGAAGCAGUUUUUUUGUUUUGUGACCAUUUGAAAGAGAAAAACAAUACGGAUGUAAAGAGAACGCUUUUCUCCAUUUUGCAAUAAAAGUAUUUUGUCUAUAUC